GAGGGAGCACUCACUUCGUAGUCAAGGACCUGAAAAGAAAUGAAUGGUUCACAGAAGUGCCCGGAACUCAACAGUCACCGAGCAGCCCAGUACAGGUGAGCCAGGUACAAAGACCUAGGGGCCGCACCUGUGCAGGAGGCACAGCCACACCCUCCACGUCGCCAAGGAGAGGGUGUGGGCCCCGCGGUCCCCACGAAAUUCGGCCAGAAGGGGUGCAGGCGGAGAAUAACUGAAACAGGAGGGCCCUACGUGGCAGUCCCUGGGAUGAGAAAACCGUGUGUCAAAGCUGCUGCCGAGUCCCUCUCUAUUUUUACCUUCCUCACACUACCUCUUUGAGCCUGGAGGAGGCAUCUUGGCCUGAGGUGGCCCGAGCUGGCGUCUCUGAGGCAGAUUCAGCCAGCCCUCAGCUGGUUCUCCAGAAACCACUACCAAAAUGCCAGGAUAAUUCACCCCGGCUUCCCUCAGCCCCAAGGCUGGGCCAGCACCCUGAAGGAUACAUCACUGGAUCCUCCUAAGUGGAGGAGAGAAGAUCCCCAUUUUUACAGAAUGCUCGUGACUGAAUGGGCCGAGGCCCUUGAGGAACUCUCAGAACACCUAGGGCUUCACUCUGCAGGGAAGAGUCCUGGGAUGAGGGGCAGCAGGCCAUCCGUGGCCUGGUUACCGUGUUUCCUCCUGGACUACCCAUGAUCACAGCUCAGCAGAUGCAAGGGGCAUGGGAGCAACACAGAUGUCCACCGAUGGAGGGAUGGAUAAAGAAUAAGCGGCACAUACACACAGUGGAAUAUCGCCCGGCCAUAGAGAAGGGUGAAAAUGCCAUUUGCAGAGAUGCGGGUGGACAACAGAGACUAUCAUUCUGAGUGAGGUGUUGAUCUGGCAUGUGGUCCUUGUAGCUCCUGUGUGGCCCCAUUUCUGCCCUCUGAAACAGCAGAGCCCACGCACCAGUUGUUACAGAACCUCCCUACCUUGG
ensembl:lncRNA